UCAACUAUGUAAAGAAAAAAGUAUUUAAUAAGAAUAUUUCAUUCAUUAAGAUCUAGGAUGUGUUAUUUUAGUGUUCCCUUUAUUUUUUUGAGCAGUGUAUUUAUUUUCAAAAACAAAAUCAAUGACCAAUCAAAAUGAUGAUCUGCACAUGUCAGAGAAGAUUUUGGGUAAUUAUACAAUUUUAUCAAGCUGAAUGCAACAUUCAUUCAAUGUCCAUUGUUAUCAUUAUGACACUUCUGUUGCAGUAUUGGUGGACCAUAUAUUUGAUUGCAGACAUUGAUGAUGAUGAGGACGAGUUGAGUGAGCUCUCCAGAGUGUCCUUCCACUCCUCCAGUUUGCCUCAGCCCAGUUCUGAUAGUCAACCCAUGGUUUGCAUCCCAAAUGGCACCCUGUUCCUUACAUAGGUCACUACUUUUGACCAGAGCCCUAUGGGCUCUGAUCAAAGGUAGUGCGCUAAAUAGGAAAUAGGGUUCUAUUUGGGCUCGUAUAUGAUUACUGGACAGGAGCUCAAAUAUUUGGCCUGGUUUGAGUUCAAAUGCUGUGAUGUUUAGUGAUAAUGUCUUUCUGUGUUUUCUACCCAGAAAUGGCGCAUUCUUGGAUCUAGCAGCAGUUUUUUGCAGUGCCGAGUGGAGGAGUCAGAGUUUCACAGAGUUUCACAGAGAUAUGGGAUUGUACAGAAGAAGGAGCUUGUCAAUUUAUUGCGGUUUUGGACGGGCUUGUAUUGAAUGUCUUCAACAACCACAAGGAGCUCGAUUCAGGCACUGGAAACCUGAACCUUCUCAAGGGAACAAGAGGUCGCAGUGACAUUAAAAUGCCGUCUUUAUUUAGAACGUUAUAAUAUCUGCAAGGUAAAAACACGUGGCUACAUGACACAUCUUCUGCCGUUGAAAUUGCCAUAGAUCUACUGUACAUUCUACAGAUUGCGCCUUUAAAGGUAGACUCAACGAGAUGAUGUUGCAUGCACAAAGUAAACACACGGUGGGUCAAUUAGCGCAACAACUAAGAGCCUUAAGGCGUGAAGCUAAACUUCUCCUCUGUUUUUGGUCCUGUAGUUGCCACGUUGUACUAGCGUGAAGCGUCCCAGUGCACAUGUGCAGAUACGCUGUGCGACUGUGUGAGAGCAAAGUCUUGCAACACACUCAUCUCAAUAUCUGCCAUGCUGCUCGUUGCAACGUCACCUCGCUGAGUCUACCUCUACUCAAUCCUUCUGCACUAUUUUAAAAUCACGACUAAUUAGUUAAUAACACGUUCCGCAUAGAGCAACACUAACAACCAAAUAAGUUUUUGUUUUUAGUCCACUCUUUUUGACUUAAUCAAUGCCCGUGUCUACUCCCGUCAACCAAGAUGCUCCAUUUCCAGAUACCUUUUGCUUUUAUGAUCAUGUAUGGUUUGAUAUGUUUUGAGGGCUGAAUUCCAACCUGAAGACUCCCAAGUUCCCUAUCUGGGCAAUGGGCAGCGAGAGCCAUUUCAGCGUGCUCUUCGGUGCGCAGGAGCAGCUGUUGAGUGACCAGUGUGGGCUCAGUGUGGGCUCCUGCUGAUGGCCGAGCCAAUCAGCAGGAGGAAAUCUGCCUUACGCUGUAGCUGGCACAGGAAUAUCUGCCGGCUGCCAAGAUAUCAACACUGACCUCAUUCCUCCUCUUGAACACUGUAUACGGACAAAAAAGAUGCCAUUGUCGAUUGGAACGGAACCAAGCCCAUACUUUGAUUGGCUGGUGGAUAGAAGGUGAUGACAGUCGAUGAGAUUAGGCUUUCCCCGUGGCUGGAGACAAAAUAUACUGCUUUGUUAUUAAAUAGAUGUAGUUCCAAGUAUAUAUUUGUAUUGUAUAAAUAGUAUUGUCUUUUAUCAACAACCACACGUAUCGACACGAUCAUGGAGGCCAUUUUGUCCAUGUCACUGAUGUCUUGAGAUGUUGUGUCAAUAUAUCCACAUCAAUUUCCCUCAUUGUUUUUGAAGAUGUUACAGUAAGUGGUGCAGGGAGUGUUGAUGCAUACGCCCUAAAACGAGUCAUUACCUCACGGUAUCUUACAUGGACAUGCCCAAGAUAAAUAGGAGUGCCUUGGAUUUGUCAUAGCCCAUGACACGCAGCUUUCGAGACCAUUGGUCUUAAUGUAUUACACUAUCCAUAAUGUCUUAUGAUAUGUGGUGUGUAUUUUUGACUGUAAAUAUUUGAUAUGACUGGUCAGAGUAAUCUGUUUUAUUAAGAUAAAAGGUGUGGCUCACCUGUACCUUGCCUUUUGUCUUCUGUGGACUACUGCGCAUGGGACACAUGCAAUGCCUUGAUUGUCCUCACGCUGCCGCUGUUGAGUUGUAAAUGAAUCCUGAACGCAGUCAACUCUACUCAUUCUUGGUUCCAGUGACAGAAGAGAAGAGAAGCUAUGUGAAAUGUUUAUUUUUCCAGGAUAUUUACAACAAUAGUGUUUUUUUAAAACUUGAAAUAAGUCAGACGUCAGUGGAUUUGUGUAACACCUAUAAUGCAUCUAUGUAGUUUAUGUACAGAAUUUGAGUAAAUAGUGGCACUUCAAAGAAAUGCAACAAUAUUUAUGAACGUUGGUACUUCUUUCUCCAUUUCGCAAGAACUAUACUCAAAGGUGGAGCCCGGUCAGUUUAUUAGUGGCCAUAUUGUAUGUAUUUGAAGCUUGAGUGAUUGCAGAAACAUCUCCACCCACUCAUGAUAACGUCACACAAUAUAUGAACAUGGGCCUCUAGCCGGGGCCAAAUAGUUUAUUUCAUUCUUUUGGCUGGAGUAGAUGUCUCCUCAACUUAAGGUCAUAGCAAUAUCACACACCGAUAAAAUAUGUGUCAUUGAAUUGCAAAUGUGAGAGUGAUGACUUUGUAUUUUUGGCAUUUCUUUGACAUUUUCAAUCCCUUCAAAUAAUGUUUCUCACAGUAACAUGUCAAUUGUAUUAAGUGAUUUAUCUUCAAAUGUAUAUAUUUAUC